GUGCUGGCUUCUGCAGCACAUAUACUAAUAUUGGAAAGAUACAGAGAAGAUUAGCAUGACCUCUGCACAAGGAUGACAUGCAAAUUCGUGAAGCGUUCCUUUUUUCU